rnacentral:snRNA from 1 species
GUGCUCGCUUUGGCAGCACAUAUACUAAAAUUGGAACGUUGCAGAGAAGGUUAGCAUGGCCCCUGUGCAAGGAUGACAUGAAAUUCAUGCAGCGUUCCAUAUUAAA